AUUGAACGCUGGCGGCAGGCCUAACACAUGCAAGUCGAACGAGUGGCGGACGGGUGAGUAAUGUCUGGGAAACUGCCCGAUGGAGGGGGAUAACUACUGGAAACGGUAGCUAAUACCGCAUACCAUCGGAUGUGCCCAGAUGGGAUUAGCUAGUAGAUGGGGUAAAGGCUCACCUAGGCGACGAUCCCUAGCUGGUCUGAGAGGAUGACCAUCCACAUGGUAGCCGUGACACGGUCCAGACUCCUACUGUCGGCAGCCGGGGGGAAUAUUGCACAAUGGGCGCAAGCCUGAUGCAGCCGUGCCGCGUGUAUGAAGAAGGCCUUCGGGUUGUAAAGUGCAUUCAGCGGGGAGGCGUUACUCGCAGAAGAAGCACCGGCUAACUCCGUGCCAGCAGCCGCGGUAAUAC
rnacentral:rRNA from 1 species